UACGUAGGGGGCUAGCGUUGUCCGGAAUCAUUGGGCGUAAAGCGCGUGUAGGCGGUCCGGUAAGUCUGCUGUGAAAGUCGGGGGCUCAACCCUCGGAUGCCGGUGGAUACUGUCGGGCUUGAGUACGGAAGAGGCGAGUGGAAUUCCUGGUGUAGCGGUGAAAUGCGUAGAUAUCUGGAGGAACACCGGUGGCGAAGGCGGCAUCCUGGACCAAUACUGACGCUGAGGAGCGAAAGCCAGGGGAGCAAACGGG
rnacentral:rRNA from 1 species